rnacentral:rRNA from 1 species
GUACACGCUGUGACUAGCAUAUCAAUAAGCGGAGGAAAAGAAACUAACAAGGAUUCCCUCAGUAACGGCGAGUGAAGCGGGAAGAGCUCAAAUUUGAAAUCUUGAAAGGUCACCUUUCACGAAUUGUAGUUUAAAGAAGUGUUUUCUGCUGACGAUCUGGUAUAUAAGUUCUUUGGAAUAGGACAUCAUCAGAGGGUGAGAAUCCCGUCUAUGAUUGCCAUUAUUUAGCUUUGUGAUACACUUUCAAAGAGUCGGAUUGUUUGGGAAUGCAGUCCAAAACGGGAGGUAAAUUUCAUUCUAAAGCUAAAUAUUGGCGAGAGACCGAUAGCGAACAAGUACUGUGAGGGAAAGAUGAAAAGAACUUUGAAAAGAGAGUUAAACAGUACGUGAAAUUGUCAAAAGGGAAGCGUUUGACACCAGUGUUGUUUUCUCGAAAAUCAAUUAAAAAUGGCUCGAUUUUGUAUUGCUGAGACCUUAAAAGCUCAGCUGUACAUUUUUCGUGUCUUUUUUAAUGCACUUUUCGUUUAACAAGUCAACAGUCAGUUUCUUUUGUUGUAAAAGGGUCAUUGGAAGGUGGCAUUCUUUUCGGAGAAAGUGUUUAUAGCCUUUGGCCUCUGCAAUCGGAGAGACUGAGGUCUGCAGCGUAGACUCUUCGGGGUUAGAUACAUUUGUGCUAAGUUAUAGCUUUUUAUAGACAACUUGUUGACUAUAAUUAGUCUUGUAGCUUACUCGCUUAUGCUAUUUUACCUACGCUUAGGAUGUUGAGUAGCGACAUACGCAC